rnacentral:lncRNA from 1 species
CUAGGACUCCGGCUACGGUGGCUCUGCUCUUGGGAUGAGAGGACUGGGCCCAGCUUGCGAGGAAUCAUGAAGUGGACACAGGGUGGGAACGUGAAUUUUAAUGAGGGGGCAGACCGAGGAGGUGGUGGCUGCCCGGAGAUCAGGGCCAGGCUGUGCUAGAUGGCGCCUGGAAGGGGGGUCACCCAAGUCUCCCUGCUGUCAUUUCAGGAGGCCGACCCAAGUCUCCCUGCUGUCAUUUCAGGAGGCCGAAUUUUUUCCCAAUCCCAGAGAAGGUGUCAGAGGCCUGGUUAGCAGUCUUGUCGAUGGUUUCCUGGGUGGUCUUGGCCAGCUGGUCCAUGGCUGGGGAAGGGCGGGAGAGAGGGCAGGUCAGGCAGGGCCCGGGAACCACAGUGCCUGUAGGCUUAGCCUGGCCUGGGUCUCCCGGGGGACCUGCUUGGGGCAUUGUGGACAGAGGGCUCUGCAGAGGAGAGGAUGUGCCUGGGCCCCAGCCGGGAUGGGGCGGGGAGUGGGAGGUGUGCUGGGGUUGCCCGCCUCCCUCCAGCCCCACCAGACCUUUCUGCCCCGCCUCUGUGGCCUGGUCCACCACUUGCUGAGCUGCCGCUCCGGCCGCUGACACGGCUUCCUGGGCGGUCCCCUCCACCUGUUGCUUCAGGUCCUGCAAGCCCUUGCUUGCCAUGGCUUCGGGGUAUCUGUGGAGUCGUCAAGAGCAGCUGGAGCGACGUUGGAUCCUGCCCAGAGUGGCGAUGCCAAGCGCCAGCUCCGGUUUUUAAGGCGCCCCAGGGCUGGCCUGCCCCGCGUAGGGGAGAGGGCGCGGGGCGGUUCCCGUCAUACAGGCUCCGGGGAGUGGCCGGGCCCUGCUCCAGAGUCCGCAGGGCAGGGAGCACAUCCUGGCCUAAGACGGGCCGCGGUGGGAAAGGGGCAGACCGAACCAGGGACCGAAGAGGUGCCAGGACAGGGGUCCAGAGAGGAGCUGGAGGCAGGAGAAGGGCGCACACCACCUCCCAGCUCAUCAGCCCCAGCCCUCCCUUUCUGAUCCUGGGCGUGAGCGCUGGGUCAGCUCCAGGGCAGGAGCUCAGGGCUGGUGUUGACCUUAAUGACAGCAGUGGUCUUUUACUGAGCAUUUGUCUUGUGCCAGGUGCUGCCUAACGCUCUGCAGUCUCUUGUAUAAUCUUUACAACCACCUCCUGAAGUGGGUAUUUUUGUUGAUAGCAUCAGUGUAUAGGAGGAAACUGAGGCAGUGAGGUCGGUCUCACCCAAACGCAUGUGGCAGGGACUUGGAUCCUCGAAUCUGCCUAGGUGCCUGUAAACCCUAGGGCUCUGGCAUCAUCGGAGCCCCCAGCCCCAAACAGCUGCAGGGGCACUGCUGACUGGCUCUCUGCCUGUAGCCAGAGACCCAGUGGAUGCAGCCGGAGAGGGCCUGGUAAAUCUUUCCCCUGAGAGGGCGAGAUACAGGUGUGUGCACUUGCAGACCAUGCAACCCCAAGGGGGAGAGGGCAGUGUGCCUGUGCAGCCCAGGCAAGGAGAUUGCCGUCUGUCACCGAAGCCUUAGGAAGUUGGGCAGGAAGCAUGGCUCAGGGAGGGCAGGAAUAAGCUUGGGCCUCUCAGGUCACCUUUCCUGAGAUGGGGCAGGCAAGGCGCUAGAGAGUAUGACUUGUGGCUGUUAGGAGGGGACUUAGGGACCUGGGCCUGAGUGGAGAAGAUCAUCCUUGGGUGCAGCAAAACAGCUUGCAAGAUACAUUCCCCUGGCACACAAGGGGUGUAGGUCAGGCCCCACCCAGCUGGGUAUACUCCCACUCCAGAGUAGGCCUUCAGGACCUGGAGGCCAGUGCACACCCACCCUGCCUUUCUGGGUCUCUCUACCGCUUCCUGUCCGGGGCUGUUUCUUGCACCUCUGCUGGUGUCUCCCCUAUUCUGGAGCGCUGGGAAGCCCCUGCCACACAGGCUUGGUCUGCUGGCACAUACCCUGCUUCUAGUGCUGCGGGGUCAGCCCCUAGAGGGAGUUGUUUGGAAGUGCACCUGUACACACACACACACACACACACACACACACACACACACACACAC